AGUUGCAAAGGUUGGUGGUUUAGGGUAUGUUAUCACUGGUCUUGGUAAAGCAUUGCAGAGGAAGGGACACCUAGUGGAAAUUGUCCUUCCAAAAUAUGAUUGUAUACAGUAUGAUCUUAUUGCCGAUCUGAAGGCACUGGAUGUUGUGAUAGAGUCUUAUUUUGAUGGACAACUAUUCAGGAACAAAAUUUUG